rnacentral:misc_RNA from 1 species
GAUGAAGAACGCAGCGAAAUGCGAUACGUAGUGUGAAUUGCAGAAUUCAGUGAAUCAUCGAAUCUUUGAACGCACAUUGCACCUCUCGGUAUUCCGGGAGGUAUGCCUGUUCGAGCGUCAAUUGUACCCUCAAGCUCUGCUUGGUGUUGGGUGUUUGUUCCGCCUCUGUGUGUGAACUCGCCUCAAAACAAUUGGCAGCCGGCGUACUUGUUUCGGAGCGCAGCACAUUUUGCGAUCCAGAUCAACGUACAGCGGCAUCCAAGAAGCCUUAUUUAACGCUCUUGACCUCGGAUCAGGUAGGGAUACCCGCUGAACUUAAGCAUAUCAAUAAGCGGAGGA